rnacentral:rRNA from 1 species
UACGAAGGGUGCAAGCGUUAAUCGGAAUUACUGGGCGUAAAGCGUGCGUAGGCGGUUUCUUAAGUCUGCUGUGAAAUCCCCGGGCUCAACCUGGGAAUGGCAGUGGAUACUGGCAGGCUAGAGUGCGGUAGAGGAUGGCGGAAUUCCCGGUGUAGCAGUGAAAUGCGUAGAGAUCGGGAGGAACAUCUGUGGCGAAGGCGGCCAUCUGGACCAGCACUGACACUGAGGCACGAAAGCUAGGGGAGCAAAUGGG